rnacentral:rRNA from 1 species
GACGAACGCUGGCGGCGUGCUUAACACAUGCAAGUCGAACGGAAAGGCACUGCUUUUGUGGGGUGCUCGAGUGGCGAACGGGUGAGUAACACGUGAGUAACCUGCCCUUGACUUUGGGAUAACUUCAGGAAACUGGGGCUAAUACCGGAUAGGAGCUCCUGCUGCAUGGAGGGGGUUGGAAAGUUUCGGCGGUUGGGGAUGGACUCGCGGCUUAUCAGCUUGUUGGUGGGGUAGUGGCUUACCAAGGCUUUGACGGGUAGCCGGCCUGAGAGGGUGACCGGCCACAUUGGGACUGAGAUACGGCCCAGACUCCUACGGGAGGCAGCAGUGGGGAAUAUUGCACAAUGGGCGGAAGCCUGAUGCAGCAACGCCGCGUGCGGGAUGACGGCCUUCGGGUUGUAAACCGCUUUCGCCUGUGACGAAGCGUGAGUGACGGUAAUGAGUAAAGAAGCACCGGCUAACUACGUG